rnacentral:lncRNA from 1 species
CUACGUGAUCUUGUAUGCUUUCCCACAGACGGCGCCAUUAUGAUGAUGCUAAAAAUAGAUCACCUUAAAUAGUUGAGAUCGAGGGAGGUGGGAGAGCAAAGUGGAUCACUGCUCACGUGCUAGAUGUCCUUGAGAUACCUGCGAACAAAGAACACCUGAACUAGGCCGGGGGUUGAUCCGGCGGAAACCCCUCCGACGCUCAAGUCAUACGGAUAGUCGGUAAUUGUAGAGAGAAUUCGAAUAGAAGAAUUGAUUGAAUAAUAAUAGCGUACCUCCAUUAAACAAACUUAAGUUGUAUUUAUACUCUAUUGAUUGGGCCGAGAUCAAUUUAUCGGGCUCAACCUUAUUCGGAUGUGAUUGGACUUCCGUAGAAAUAGCUAUUAAAUUGGGCAUGUGGCCCAGUAAAUAUGGGUCUAUUGGGCUGGACCAAUAGACAUAUCAGGGACAAUUUUGAAAAUUUUCAAAAGUUGUAAUAUCAUUUAUCCACCCGAACAAAAUAACAUUGAAUAAAAAAAAUUCUCAUUAUCAUAGGAAAUUAAUAGUUCAUCAAUAAUCAUAUGCGUCGUUUUACAUAAACUAUAUUUAAAAUAUACUACAUAAGUAUGAUAAAAAAAAUAAAAAUAUAUUUCUAGAAAAUCAUUAGGUUUUUUGUUAAAUUAUAAUAUGUUCAAAGAUCUAUGUUUUCCUUUUUUUUUUUUGAGAGAAAAUGAUCAUAUAUUAGGCAUAAAUAGCCACAUCAAACGGGAGAACAUCACCCUCAAAUUGGUCCAAAACGGCCAUUUGAGCAAGUGCAUGAACUAGACAAUUACCCUAUCUUUUAAUAAACGAGAACGGACAAUCAGAAAAAAAAAGAAUUCAAAACGAAAAAACAAUCAUCAAGAAGAGCACCAUAUGAUGCGUCUGAGAAUCCUCUUCCUUGUAAGGCAUUAAUAAUCUGCAACGAAUCCCCUUCCAUGAUAACUGAAGACCAGCCCUUAGCCACUGCCGUCAACAUUGCAUAGAGAGCGCCACGAGCUUCACCCUCAACCGCCUUAGGUCGACCUAUGAGUUUGGCAACGCUCCACCCACUGCAUUGCCCCUCCGAGUCUCGAGCCACCAUCGCAACUUUGUAAAAGUCCAUAUCUUCCGGAAGUGCAACAUCAAAGUUGAUCUCAAUAGCUUUAUGUAUACUUUUAAUUUCAAUUCAAAAUUAUGAAGUAAAUUGGAAAUUGAGAUUUGGAAAAAUAAAUAAAAAAUAGUACAUUACAAAAAACAAAAUAAAAAUCAAACGGAUUUUGAAAAAUAUCCAUUAGAACUUCUACCCUAAUCUUCAACCAAUGUGUUGCCAAAAUCAAUGAACAAUAGAACCUCGAUAAAUUAAUAAUCUUAUUUUUUUACUUAAAUAAUAAUUUCUUCAUGUCCUAAUCUUAUAAAAAUAUACUCAAUUAUUAGUUUGAUAAUAUAAUAUUUCGAUAAAUUAAUUGAAUUUCAUUAGGCUUGACUGUAUUAAUUUAUAGAAGUUUUAACUGUACUAUGCUUAUAGUGAAAUGUUAAAUAUUGUUUCAAAUUUACAAAUGUCGUUUUGACUUUAAAUAUGAUUUUGACCAUUUUUAAUCUGAUUUUGGUAAAAUUUAAAACACGAAAACUCUAGUCAUGCACGUUAACUUUCUAAUCCAACUGAAAUCAACUAGUUUGGAUGUUGGGAUAAAAUUAUGCAUGAAAAACUUAUAUUUUGAAUUUUAGAUAACUCAAAACGUUAAAGUUGUUGGCACUGUUCAUCAAUUCAUACAGAUAUUAUUUAGCCGGCAUCCAAUCUCAGUGAUUUAAGUUGAAUUAGAAAGCUAACUCAAAGACCUACAAUUUUCGUUGUUUAAAUUUUUGCCAAAUUCAAAUAAAAAAUUAGUCAAAAUCACGUUUGAAGUCAAAAUGAUAUUUUUAACUGAAACGACAAUUAUCACAAUCGUUAGUGACACCUUAACAGAAAAACAACACAAAAAUAACACUUUAUCCGAAUUUGAAUAAAUAAAUUACAAUAUCUCGAAUCAAAUAGCAACACCAAAAUUAAAGAAUUGAAACAAGGGAAUUAACAAAGAUUAGGAGUAAUGGAAGCCAACUAAUUAAGCAAAUUAAUAAACACAAGCGUAGUUGCCCAUUCACGAAUACAAUAAAAAGUAGUUGACUUGUGUGGCUCACCAAACCCCUACUCACCUAACCCCCUCUGUUUGACUCGCCCAUCCGCCAUCCCCCAAUUUUCCGUUAAAUCUAACGCCGUCAAAUCACCCCCCACACCCUUCCACCAAACACCUGUCCACACUAUAUAAAUACCACGCGCCCUUUCAUCUACAUGUCAAUUUAAAAGCCUCCCAUCCCCAUAAAACCCCCACCGCCACCACCGCCGCCGCCGCCGCCCAUUUUCUUCAUGAUGGAUCUUCUCCUACUCGAGAAGACCCUUCUCGGCCUGUUCGCCGCCAUCGUCAUCGCCGCCGUGGUGUCGAAGCUCCGCGGCAAGAAAUUCAAGCUCCCGCCGGGGCCGAUCCCGGUGCCGAUCUUCGGCAACUGGCUGCAGGUCGGCGACGACCUGAACCACCGCAACCUGACGGAGUACGCCAAGAAGUUCGGCGACAUACUCAUGCUCCGGAUGGGGCAGCGCAACCUGGUGGUGGUCUCCUCGCCGGAGCUGGCGAAGGAGGUCCUCCACACGCAGGGCGUCGAGUUCGGCUCCCGCACCCGCAACGUGGUGUUCGACAUCUUCACCGGCAAGGGCCAGGACAUGGUGUUCACCGUGUACGGCGAGCACUGGCGGAAGAUGCGGCGGAUCAUGACGGUGCCCUUCUUCACCAACAAGGUGGUCCAGCAGAACCGCCACGGAUGGGAGGCGGAGGCCGCCGCCGUGGUUGACGACGUCAGGAAGAACCCCGCCGCGGCGACGGAGGGGAUCGUGCUCCGGCGGCGGCUGCAGCUGAUGAUGUACAACAACAUGUACAGGAUCAUGUUCGACAGGCGGUUCGAGAGCGAAGAGGAUCCCCUGUUCUUGAAACUGAAGGCGCUGAACGGAGAGAGGAGCCGAUUGGCGCAGAGCUUCGAGUACAACUAUGGCGAUUUCAUCCCGGUUUUGAGACCUUUCUUGAGAGGCUAUCUCAAGAUCUGCAGGGAGGUUAAGGAGAAGAGGAUUAAGCUCUUCAAGGAUUACUUCGUCGACGAGAGGAAGUAAGUUUACACUUUCAUUUCCGAUCCUCGGUUUUUUUUAGUGUUUGCGAUCGAUUAUGCCGCUAACCGUAGUUAGUUGGUGUGAAAAUCGGAGCAAUUUCCGGUAAAAUGUUUCGAUAACACACUAGACUACGGUCUGCAUCGUCGAUAAAUUAAUAACCUCGCUUAAAUGAUGAAUUUGGUAAUUAAAUAUUUUGCUGAAUUAACAGAAAUUUGCUACUUCAGACACUAUUAAUUCAUAGAGGUUUAACUGAAGGUGCAAAAUUGACGUUAUCGGGAAAUGUUUUUUGAUGUCUAAUUUGAUUGACUUGUGCGCAAUUUUUGGUUCGGACGCUAGAAGCUCGUGUUUCGCUUAAUUUGUUACAUUAUUGUUAAUCUAAUUGAUGGUUUAAUUUAUUUUUGGCAGGAAACUUACGAGCACAAAGGGGACCGAUAGCGAAGGACUAAAAUGCGCAAUCGAUCACAUUCUAGAAGCACAACAGAAGGGAGAGAUCAAUGAGGACAAUGUUCUUUACAUUGUUGAGAACAUUAACGUUGCCGGUACUUGUCUAUCCUCUUUCUUCUUAUUUUUCUUUCCCUUUCUUUUCUUGUCUUAAAAAACGAAAUAAAUACAACCUCCUCCGUUUCUUGAUAUUAGCCUAUCUUUAGUGUUACAUGCCGUUGUGUACAGAUAGGUAAUUAGAUGUUAUUUGCACGGCAUGGAUAUCAACCUUAGAUUUACACAUAAUAAUAUAAUCAAGUGUAACAUUUAACUCCGAGACAUAGAGCUCGAUAAAACGAGGUAGUAUGUAAUAUAUAUAUUGUUGAAAUGUAUAUUAUAAUUGAUUAAGAUAACACACACAGUAGACAGUUCUUAUCUACAAUGAAUAAAUCAUUUUUUUUAUCCUUAAAAGUGACAUGACGCUAACAACUUUUUUAUCAUUCUUGAGUCACCUCCCACAGAAAUAUAUGCACAUCUUGCCCUACUCUUAUAUAUAUAUAUAUAUAUAUAUAUAUAUAUAUAUAUAUAUAUAUAUAUAUAUAUAUAUAUAUAAAGAAAAAGUGGAGUAUCCUUAAAAUAAUUUUUGUCCAAAAGUAGGUGUGGUGUAGUAGUAGGUAUUAAAGAUUUUCAUAUGGCCAUCAAUUAAGAUAUCUUCUUUGGGGUAUGACUUCUAAUUUUGAUUGGUUGUUGGCCUCCCACGUGACUUAUGUUUUAAGUUUAGAUUUUACAAACCACACACCACACCUAACUCUCCUCAAUUUUGACUUUUCGUCUUCACAUCAUUUGACUUUUUUUUAUAGUAAAAAAGAAAUAUUUUCCACUAAAAAAACAAAUAAACACCGCUCUGACUGCUACGUAAUUAUCAGUGUCCUCGGAAUAUAAACAAAUAUUACUUUCAUUUCUCAAAUUCUUGAUACUUUCAUUUCCAUUAAACAGCAAUCGAAACAACCCUUUGGUCGAUCGAGUGGGGAAUCGCGGAACUAAUCAACCACCCCGAGAUCCAAAAGAAGCUACGAGACGAGAUCGACACUCUAGUGGGGCCCGGAGUACAAAUCACCGAGCCCGACACCUACAGGCUACCCUACCUCCAAGCCGUGGUAAAAGAAACCCUCCGCCUCCGCAUGGCAAUCCCACUCCUCGUGCCCCACAUGAACCUCCACGACGCCAAGCUGGCGGGCUACGACAUCCCCGCAGAGAGCAAGAUCCUGGUCAACGCAUGGUUUCUUGCCAACGACGAGGCCCACUGGAAAAAGCCCGAAGAGUUCAGGCCCGAAAGAUUCUUGGAGGAGGAAUCUAACGUCGAGGCGAAUGGGAAUGACUUUAGGUAUCUACCGUUUGGUGUGGGAAGGAGAAGCUGCCCCGGGAUUAUAUUGGCUUUGCCUAUACUUGGAAUUACUUUGGGGCGUUUGGUCCAGAAUUUCGAGAUGUUGCCUCCACCGGGCGAGUCGAAGAUCGAUACUACUGGGAAGGCUGGGCAGUUUAGUCUUCAAAUACUCAAGCACUCCACUAUUGUUUUGAAGCCAAGAUCCUUUUAAUUUUUUUUUUUUUUUGUUUUAUACAUUUUCUUGUUGGUGUUAACAGUGGGUUGGAGGGAUGCAUGAUUCUGAUUCAAUGUUCUGUAUUUGUUAUUUGUUCUGUUUUUUGUUUUUUUUUGGGUUAGUGUGGAUGAAUAUUUUGUAUUUGUCAGUUACAAUACAUUUCUUUUUCUAUCUUUUGCAAUCUUUUUUUAUGAAAAUAACCAUUGAAGUUAGCUCAUCUGUUCAGACAUAAUAAUAAUGAUCUAUGCACCAUGGACAAGGAAACGGUGAAACGGGGAAACAACAUAUCAGAAAAAAGGGGUUGCGGGAAACUUGGGGAAAACGUAUAAAUAUUAAAAGUAUAGAUAUAUAUACACAUGGUAUAUAAACAUUUAUAUAAGUUUUUAUUUAUAUAUAAUUUUUUUUCUUAUAUUUUCAAUUCAUACAAACAUAUCCAAAAAAUAAUGUUAUUAUCAACUAUCAAUUUAUAGUUGAUUAAGAAAUCAUGUAAUUAAUUAGGGAAGUAACAAAAACAUGUGAACUAUUCAAACAUAUUUCUAAAUUUUCAGAAAUUGCACAAUAAUUCAUAAGGUGUCCGGUUGGUGUUCUUGAGUGUCGGACACGAAACAGGUCCGAAACGCGAACAUGUUAAGAAGUUGAACUUUCCGUGCUAUAUAGCGUAUGAUACAUAUGGCUGAGUUUGGUAGGGCGAUUAUAUCUAGCCCUCGAAUUACUGUUAUCACCAAAGUUCCGAUAUAGCAAAAUUCAUUAUAACUACUAUACCAAAAAAUAUUGGUAUAUACCGAAUUUUAGGUAGGUGAGGUAGAGAUUUUCUUGAAUAUUUUGCCUAACAUUUUAGGUAUGUUAAUAGUUAGGGUAAAUUACACCCACACCUCUGAGGUAUGCUUAAAUAACUGUAAGAUCCCUAUGGUAUCGAUAAUAACACUCACCCCCUGAAACAUAGUUAUAAACUCUAAUGGGAUAAUGCAUUGGAUACGUUAUUACGAUAGAGUUCUAACGGACUAUUGAUUUCAGGAAGUGGUGGAGACGACAAAGAGUUAUGGGUGAUUUAAGUAAUAUUUCAGGAGGCAUGUCACCUCAUUACUCCACAUAACUCUAUGUUAUCUCCACCACUAGCUAAAAGUAAUAGUCCAUUAGAACCCUAUCGGAAUAAUCUAUCCAAUGCAUUAUCCCGUUAGAGUUUCUAACUACGUUUCAGGGGGGUGAUUGUCCUUAUCGAUACCAUAGGGACCUUACAGUUAUUUAAGCAUACCUUAGGGGUGUUAGUGUAAUUUACCCUAAUAGUUAUUACUAUUUUUACACCAAGGAGAUUUUAUUCUUUGACGUAACAACAACAAAUGUUUUUUCUAGCAAAAUGAUUUAAAUGAAUGCCUUGAUUUAUGUCAAUAUCUAUGUUAUGAACAAAAUAGUAAUAUCAAACAUUAUAAUUGAAUUACAAGCAAAAGAAGACCAUCAUAAUUGAUGGGUCAUCUUGGCAAGCUUUGACUGGGCCCAAGAAAGUGGGCCGGAGGAAGAAGCGCGAGUUGGAGUUGAUGAAUUUUGUAUGAAUUGGCGGCCCAAAGGGGGUCUUAUGAUGGGCUUGGGAGCUCGCAUAAGGGCUAGUUCUGGGAAAACUAGAUGACAAGCUCGCCUCAAUUAAAGUGAUGAGCCCACCUCAGCUGAAGAACCCGUGCGACAAGGUCCGAACUGUAUAGGAAAACUUGUAGAAGAAUGAAAUAAGAUAUUUUUUAUAAGAAAAGAAGAUAAAAUCGGAUAAGUUAAGAAGGAAAGUGUAAUUUAUAGAUGAUUGGCUGAUUACACGCCUUUUGAUAAUAGGAGAUACCUAGAAUAAUAUGCCUAUAUAAACACUUGUAAUAAUCCUAAUUAGGGUGUUUUACAUCAAUAAUAGUUAUCUCUUUGUAAACUCUCUCUACUUCUCUAUUCUAUAUUCCGUCCGUUGUUUCACCGUCGCCGGUCUCUAAUCUAACGGGUGUUGAUCUUUCCGAUGACUUAACGAGUAGGAUUUAUAGUGCGGAUUUCAAGCACCGUCAAUAAUAUAUUCAUAAACUACUAACGUAGAUGCUUUUUUCAUUUCAUUUCUUAAAUUGGGUUUCAAAUUAGCCUAAUCAAUGGCGAACCAUAAGUAGAGUUAGGGGGGUCAACACAAGUUGGGCUAGGGGCCAUCAACACCCCCACGGCCCACAAACAUACAAAACAAAAAAAAAAAAAAAAAAAGCCCAAAAAAAAAAAAAAAGAAAAAAAGAAAAAAAGAAGAAAAAAGAAAAAGAAAAAAAGGAGAUUGUGAAGUAUUUAGUAUAUAUAGUAUUUAAAUAAGCAAAAAUAUUAUUGCAAUAGAAGCUACUGUGAAGAACAGAAAGAAAAACAUUUGCUGAAGAAAGUUAAUCCAUUCUCAUAAUGUACAUACACAUCACGCAAUAUUACAACACUCAUUGGAUGGUUAUUGUUGUAUCGGCUGUAAAAAUCGAUGAGUGAAUGAAUAUAUACGCCUCAUUAGAAAUCUCAAGUAGGAAAAUUUUAUGGGACAAAACCGGUCAAAAGGAAAAAAAGAAAAUGUAUAGCUCAAAUUCAAGUCGCGUGCAUAAACUGUCCCGUUAAAAAUCUUUGUUGGAAAAUUCAAGGAACAAAACUAGUCAUAAGGGAAAAAGAAUGCAGGUCACUAUUACUCUCCUUAAAAUGAGAAAUGUAGUCUCCGAUAUGGAUGUCAAUCUUGCUUCGUAUUAGUUUUUCUCAUUCUAAUACCGUACACUAAUUUCUCAAAUGUACAAGUCAAUACGGAUUUUGUAAACAAAUCAGCAAGAUUGUCACGUGGGCGAAUUUGUUGGACAUCAAUCUCUCCAUUCUUCUGAAGCUAAUGUAUAUGAAAGAAUUACUUUGGUGUUAUACAUGUUUGGUCCCAUCAUCCUUUAACCACAUUACACGUAUUACAACACUCCUCAUUAUAUUAGACGAAUCAUUGUUGUAUCAACUGUAAAAUCGGAUGAGUGAAUACAUACGCCUCAUUAAAAACCUCAAGCCGGAAAUUAUUGGAACAACCUAGUUUACGGUACACACAUUCUACAUUUCCACUAAAAGUUAUUAUGAUUUUAAAGGUAAUUAAGAAAAAAACCUUAAUGACGUCGAAUCGAACAAUUCAUCGUUUCGUUUCAGAUAGCUUGAUCCCACUUCAAUUAUAGGGAUUCAAUAAAGAGUAAGGUAGUAAUGAGAAUCAUGCUCGAAAGUCAGUGGAAAGAAGUUUAGAUUGAACAUGACAUUUUGAAGUAAUUAAAGGACUUAAUAUAAAAAGAAUUCAUCACAUUUUUAUUUUAAAUUUCAUAAUUGGGGACUAUAAGCUAAUUUUCUAUAUCUUAACUUAAACUCAAUAAGGGGUAAACAAUGUCCCAUGAUGAGCAUUGCUGCAUAGGACCACGACAAACAAAACAAAACGAUGUUGCUUUUAGCUAGAUAGAUCGUUGUUGUUAAUUUGAUUUUGAGAAAGACAAUUUUCCCGCCCUUUUGAAAGUUAUUAUUGUACAUAUUCUAUUUAAUAAUUUAUUAAUUCAAAUUUUGAAUUAUAUUUUUCCUAUUUUUUCUGCAUAUUGGUUGUCAACCCUGUCUUCUCUCAAUUCAAUUUUCGAAAUGUCGUAUUCAAAUUAGGGGAAUACGAUGGUGAUUUUCACCGGGUGGCUCUUUUCUUGACAUGUGUCCUUUUUUAUUUAUUUUAUAAUUAUAUUUCUAAAACCCAUUGGGUCAUAACUGAACCCGUAGUAAGAAUCUUAUUAAUUAGGGUGUCUGGUUAUAUUCACCAGAUGUAGCAUAGAAUUUCCCUCCCUUCAAAUUAGGAGGAAGUAGAGCUUAUAUUUUGGAAUUAUAUUUUUCCUUUUUCCUUUUUUUUUUUUUUUUUUUUCUUCUUCUAGGAAUUGGUUGUCAACCCUAUCCCUCUAUAUAUUUUCUCAAUUCAAAUUUUAUAUCUUUUUCUUUUAUAAUUCUUAGAAUUUACUUUCAAUUCAACGAAUCAUUAUCCUUCCAAUUUCAAAAGGAAAAUGAUAAAAAAAUUCAAAACAAGUUAGUACUCAUGCCGGCCUGCGUUUUUUUAUUAGCAUUGCACCUCAUGAUUCACCCAUCCUACAUAGAUGCUUGUAGUUUCAGUGCGGAAAAAAAAAGAGUUUUUUGUCCUGCAAUAUUUCUUUUAUCAAAUUUUUAGGGAUAAAUUACGGCCAAUCUUUUGAGAUAAUGUUGAAUUGCGAAAAAACUUUUUUAUUUGGAUAUUUACAACCAUCCUCUGAACUGGUGUCAAAUUCAAUAUAAUCUUCUAAAUUAUACUCUUUGGAAUGUUUAGUUGACCACUCAUUUUGUGAAAAAAUGCAGUUUCUGAUACACCAUAAUCUGAUAAUUACAAGCCAAGAGACAUAUCUUAUGAUCAUUUUGUUCAAAAUGUGAAGCUCGAAUGCGGUUAACGGGUACAAACUGGAGAAUAUUCCACAUAAUUUAGAAUAUUCCACUAAAUUUAGAAGAUUCCACUAAAUUUAACACCGCAAGGAUGGACGUGUAAGAAGAUUUAUAGUUGAGAUGUGAUUGUAAUUACUUAAAUAUGCGGGGGUUUUUUCUUCCGUAAAUUGACCUCACCUCAGAGGGUGGCGGUAACUUACUCAUUUUUUUUAAUCCUAGUUUCCUUUUUCUUAUUCCAUUGACAACAAAAAUUGAGUUGUUUUGAUUUUAAUCAUUAAUGUCAUAUUUUUUUGGGAUAAUUAGAGUUAGCAUCAAAUUACGAAAAUUCCCCUCAUGUUUGGGUAAUUACAGUCACCUCUCAACUAUGUAUUAUCUUACGAAAAUACCCUUCAGAGGUAAAUUUAGGGAUGUUAAAUCGUAAAACCGAACCAAAAUUUCGGUACGCCAACAUUUCAUACCGUUUACCGAACUGAAUAUACGAUCUGGUUCGGUAAAUAACCAAAUUACAUAAAUUUUAUGUAAAAAUAUUUAAAAUGAGGGAAUGACUGUAAUUACACAAACAAGAGGGAUUUUUUUUCUUCAUAAUUUGAUCAUAUCUCAAGGGUGGCCGUAAUAUGCCUUAUUUUUUUUUAUAUUUUGUAGUGCUAAAUUCGAGUCCGGACACCAGAAGAGAGAGAAAAAAAAAUAGAAGCUUGACUUCAGAUAAAUUACAUAUUACAGAGAAAGAUAUAUAUUACAAAAAAUAGAAGCUUAGCUUGGUUUGGAUCCAUUUGAAAACAUAUUACACAUAAGCUUGAAUUUACAAACUUGAUUGAUAAUUAUGCAUCUUAGAUCAGAAGAAAGAUUAUAUUUUAAUGAUUAUUGAACAUAUCGUUAUUCAUGUCACAAUUUCAUUUAAAUAAAAGGCAACAUAUAAACCAAUUGUACUGCAUAAUGCAUACGAAUAAAUGCAGACUGUGUGUGCUGUAUUUAAUAUUGCUGCUGCUGCAUCUUAUAAUCUAGCUAAUUUAAAACCGGCCCCCCCUACUUAAAUAGUUUGACAUGGGUACAUGCAUGCCAGUUUCUUUUCAAAUAUUUUAAAACACUUUAUAUAUAUAUAAAAAAAAAAAGAAUCUAUAAAUAGGUUAGCCAUGGAGAACAACUUCAUCAAACCACAACUCCCACUACUAGCUAAUUAAUUACUCCUCCCAUGGAUUUUCUUCUCCUCCUCCAAAAAUCCCUCGUCGCCCUCUUCGCCGCCGUGGCCGCCGCCAUAGUGGUCUCGAAGCUUCGCGGCAAACGCCUGAAUCUGCCGCCGGGCCCCUUCAAGUACCCGAUAUUCGGGAGCUGGUUGCAAGUCGGCAACAGCUUGGACCACCACGACUUCAUCAAAUACGCCAAGAAGUUUGGCCACCUCUUCCUCCUCAAGAUGGGGCAACGCCACAUCGCCGUCAUAUCCUCGCCGGAGCUGGCGAAGGAGGUCCUCCUCACUCAGGGGAAAGCGUUCGGUUCCCGAUCGAGGAACAUCGUCUUCGACAUCUUCACCGGCAAAGGGCAGGACAUGAUCUUCACCGACUACGGCGACCACUGGCGCAAGAUGCGGCGGAUCGUGACCGUGCCCUUCUUCACCAACAAGGUGGUGCAGCAGUACCACGGCGACUGGGAGGCGGAGGCCGCGGAGGUGGUGGAGCACGUGAGGAGCAACAUUGCCGCGGCCGCGGCGGAAGGGGUUGUGCUGAGGCGGCGGCUCGAGCUCAUGAUAUACAACAACGUGUACAAGAUCAUGUUCGAUAAGAAGUUCGAGAGCGAAGAGGAUCCGUUGUACGUUAAGCUCAAGAGUGUGAAUGGUGAGAGGAGUAGAUUGGGGCAGAGUCUCGAGUACAAUUUCGGCGAUUUCGUGCCGAUUUUGAGGCCUUUUUUGAAAGGCUACUUGGAGAAAUGCAAGGAGGUAACUAGGAGGAGGUUGAACUUGUACAAGGACUCUUUUGUUGAAGAAAGGAGGUAAGUGAUCUAUUUUCUUUUUUUCCUUUAUUUCAUUGUAUGCAUAUUGCGUGAUUAUUUAUACGCUGUGCAGCACGGAAACUUCAACUUCUUAACGUUUUCGCGUUUCAGACACGUACAUGUUUCGUGUCGGAAACUCAAAGAUACCUGUCGGACACCUUAUGGGCAAUUUCGCAAUUUCAAAAAAGUUAGAAACAUAUUUGAAUAGCAAAUUUUCAAAUAUUUUUGUUGCUUCCGUAAUUAUUUUUAUACUUUAAUGAUCAGAUGCAAAUUGAUAGUUGAUAGUAAAAUAUAUUUUGAAUAUGUUUGUAUGAAAAUAUAUAAAAAUGAUUUAUAUAUAAAUAAAAACUUAUAAAUGUUUAUACAACAUUUUUAUAAAUAUACCCCUAUACUUUUAAUAUUUACACGUUUCCCAAGUUCUCGUAUCCCCAUUUUCGUGACAUGCUGUUUCCCUGUGUUUGUUUUCCUGUAUCGCCGUUUCCGCGUCCGUGUCUGUGCUAUGUAUAACUUGGGUAGAAUGUGUGAUAUGUGAGUUGUGUGAUUUCGACUGCAGGAAGAUUGCAUUAGUAGAGGAGGAGAAAGACAAAAAUCGCGUCAAAUGCGGGAUAGACCAUUUUCUCGUAUCUCAACAGAAUGGAGAGAUCAACGAAGACAAUGUUCUUUAUAUUGUUGAGAACAUGAAUGUUGCGGGUAUAUGCUUCGCUACUUUGUUUCUUUAAACAUGUAUCGUCGUAAUUGUUACGGCACUAAUACUACUUUUCGUCUUUAUCAGCUAUAGAGACUACCGUUUGGGCACUUGAAUGGGCCAUCGCGGAACUCAUCAACAACCCCGAGACACAAAAAAAGCUUCGGGCCGAGCUGGACGCGGUGCUAGGCCCGAAUAAGCAAGUGACGGAGCCCGACACUCACAAACUCCCGUACCUCCAAGCUGUGAUAAAAGAAACCCUUCGCCUGAGAAUGGUGGUUCCUUGCUUGGUCCCACACAUGAACCUCGACAAGGCCAAUCUCGGUGGCUACGAGAUCCCUGCAGAGAGUAGGAUCUUCGUCAACGCAUGGUGGCUAGCCAAUGACCCAGCCCGUUGGAAAAAGCCCGAAGAAUUUAGGCCCGAAAGAUUCUUGGAAGAGGAAUCCAAUGUCGAAGCUAACGGGAAUGACAUCAAGUACAUUCCAUUCGGAGUUGGGCGGAGGAGCUGCCCGGGGAUUAUAAUGGCGAUACCUAUUAUGGGCAUCACUUUGGGCAGGCUAGUGCAGAAUUUCGAGCUUUUUCCUCCACCCGGGCAGUCGAGGAUUGACACGGCUGAGAAUAACGGGCAGUUUGCUACCCGGAUGUCGAAACAAUCCAUCAUUGUCUUGAAGCCAAGAAAUAUUGCUUGAAGUUUUAGUUUCUUUUUAAACUUCUAUGUAAUGCAUGAAUAUAAUAAAGGUUGGUGCAUGCAUGCGGGCGUGACAUUGAUUUGGUCCGCGGUUGCACCAAUCAAGUGUAGCAUCUACUUUCCCGGUCAAGUGUGUGCUGAUGUAACGUCAUCGUUAUGUACUAUAUUUUGUUUUUUGGUUAUGUUUAUAUAUAAUAUAUUAGAAAUAAAACGUGGUUAACUCUUUUUGCAUAUUUUCAUAGAUAAAUUGUACAAAUGAUCGAAUCAUGUUCGUGCAUAUCAUAUAUAUAUAGGGAGUUGUUUCUUUUUUCCCAAUUAAAUAAACUAAACUGAUUGUCCAUGCACUAUUUAGAACUUACAAGCACUUUUGUUUUAUAUCAUUUUUUUCAAACUAAAAACUUAAUUUCUCUCAAACUCUCUCAAGCUUUUGGAGACACAUUCUUAGAUCCUAACCGAGACGAUAACAUAAUGGAGGAAACUUUUUACGUUUUUAUGAUUGUUUUGUUACGUAAAGUACGAAUAUGGAAAAAAAGACAUGUUUGGCGGAGCUCGCUUGGUUCUAUACGAACUCAGUGGACUGAGUUCGCGUAGAACCACGCAAGCUCAUGAGUUUGAGUAUGUUUUUCAAUUUUUUUUAAAUUGAAUUAUUGCAUAUUUUUUGGAAAAAAAAAGGCAUGAGUUCGUGGGAUUCAAGGUGAACCGGUGGGCUGUGUUCGCAUAAAACACCACAAACUCAAUUUACCGAGUUCGCCUAGAAACACAGGAACGCAUGCGUUUUUUUUUUGGGUGUUUGCAUGAAAACGGGCGAACAAGUGUACUGAGUUUGCGUGGCGUGCCUACACGCGAACUCAGUACACUUGUGUUCGCCCGUUUCCACAUGAACUUUUUUUUAUAUAUUUUAUUUUGUUAAUUUUUUUUUGGCAAUACUAAUGUGGUUUUAUAGAUGGCGAGAGAUAGAGGAAAAAGUUUAACGAGUCAGGUUGAUGGAGAAUGUAAGAGUUUGAUAAAAGUUUUGGGUGCGAAGUUGAACAAUCCGGAUGAUUGGGUCGCAUAAAAAAUCAAGAAUUUCUUGCAUCCGAUCGUAGAAUUAAGGAAAGCGAUACGAGUGAAGAAGUGAGAGCGAUAGAAGCAGUGAGAAGAAACUAUUGCAGUGGGAGCCUGGCCUUCUCUAUCUAUUGCCGAUGAUCUUCAAGUUGGUUACGACAAUGACGAGGAGAUGAUGGAUAAUGUGGUGGACGACGGGCAACGAUGAUGAUGAGGAUGAGGAUGAUAAGGCCUAUGAGACUGAUGAGGCUGAGCCAGUUGCAGCGCGAACACCUAGAGUUCGUGGUCGUCUAACAUGCUAGACUCUGUGUUGCGGCAAUUUAGAAGAGUCGAGAAGAUUCAUUUUCGUAUUACUGAAUCUGCUUAACCACACCACCGCGACAUUUAUUCUGCUGGCUACAAGGUCACAUUUCCCGCCCCGGCGGCUUGUGGGACAACGUAUAUGCCAACUUCAUUGACUCGUCGCAAUACGAUGAAGCAUGGCCUCCUGAAACAGUUGGGCUUGGGUGACGCAGUUGCAGCAAAAUUUGGAUCCACAUGUUUUUCAUUUAGCGGUUGUCAUCAUGUGGAAACUUUGGGAUAAUUGGAACAAAGCCAUGCAUAGGAAGAGGGAAGCCCAACGCCGCCGGAAGUAAUUAGUUAAAGUGAAAAUUAUCUAAAUUGUUACAAGGAAACACAAAUCCGAUUUACUCAUAACAAGGACAAUGUGCACCCAAUUGUGUGGAAACCGCCGGCGAACGGAGUGAUCAAAAUUAACUUUGAUGUCGCAUUUCCCAUGGGGAAAUAUUACUAUGUUCCGUCGAACGUAGCUCGGGAUUGGCAAGGUGUGGUGGCACGCUAAAACAGUUCAAGGACGACCAAGAGUAGUCGAAGGAGAAGGCCACGCGGCACUUCAUGCGAUUUCAAAGGCGCAUGAUCUUGGCUCAUCGGAUGUGAUUCUGGAAGGGGGCAACAAUCAACAAGUUAAUACAGCACUUCGUGAGCACAAUGCAGCUUGAUACGGACCAUUUCGCCAUUUGGAGGCCACCUCGGAAUUUGAGAGGGCAUACGUAAUAAGAGUGAUAUGGUUAAAUUGAGAUAAACAAAUUGGCACCUCGGUGCACAUGCAACGAGAAGGUUACCUCAGCCUAUGGAGACGAGGAAUAAAUAAGGGAAGCUUCCAGAAGUUACAAUGAUGGGCUCUAGGCUCAAGAAGUCGUGGAGAAAAAAAACACAUACAUUGUACACAUUUUUACAGUUUAUUCCAUCCGAUUAACUAACUUGAUCGCUGGAGCAUUUUCCAGGGAAACUCCCUCCCGGUGUCACAGGUACUUCCUUCCGGUGACGUCAAGAAGGACCCAUCUUCAUCCAUUUUCCAAAAGCGACUGAAACGGGGCGGAUCACAGAUAAAGCAUCAUUUGGAGUCCUUAUAGCUGACUGUUUAUGUAUUUGUAGCUCUUUUAGUUCAUGUAAUUUUUCUUUUGUCAAGCGUUUUUGGGAAAUCUUCUUGCCCACGCUAUUGCCACGACUUCUGAAUUUGGAUGUAAUGAUGGUGUAGUAUUACCCUCGAGUAUGGCUUAUAUAGCCUAAUAAAAUCUAAGUUUUUUUCUCAAAAAAAAAAAAAAACCAUGAGUGUAAAAUUAGUAUCUUUUACAGAAUAUUCCAAGAAAUAAAUGAAAAAUUCCAUCAAAAUACACUCCGCAAUGGAACAACGUAAGACGAUAACAAAAUUCAGAGGACUUUUGGUAAUUAAUUAUAAAUAGUUGAGGGUUGUCUUUGCAAUUUUAUCUUAGUUAAGGAUUUUCUCUAUAUUCGUCCAUAUUGUAAUGCUAUUUGCAAAGUCUAUCUGUAGAAUGUAGAUUGAUGUGUCGUGAAUACUAUAUUCAAAAUUCAACUCGAAAACUUUACACGAAAACUGCAAUUUCUAAAAAAAAAUAUUUUUUUCUCCUUUUUCUUCAUCUACUCUGCGCGAGCCGUCGGGGAGUGGCUGUUUGAUGGCGGUGGAGAGAAUUUGAAAGGUGGGAGAGAAACAAUGGUGGUGGAGAAGAAAUAAGAAAUGUGAAGUUGAAAACAUGGAAAUAAAGUUGGGAGAAUGACUUGGGCAUAAGGUUAUCUUGUCGAGGUUAUUUUUGUUUUAUCACACAAGUUCACGGAAAUCUCACUAAUUUAAAAUAAGAUUUGAAUGUGUGAAGAAAAACAUUACAAUUAUUGAAAUACUAAAUCCCGCACUGAAAUUACUGAAUCAUGCACACAAUUAAAAAUAUUUUUCUCUCUAAACUUUUCCACUCAAAAUCCGUUUCUCUUUUCUCCUUCCCCACCUCUUUCUAUUUUCCUUUAUAGCUGUUAUCGAAUUUUAAUUUUUUAAGAAACAAAGUCUUUAUUCUUUAGGGGUAAUUUAGUCUUUUCCAGUUUUAUGUGUCUAAUUUCAUAUCAUAAGGGGGUCAUGUGCAAAAUCUCAAAACCACAAUGGAGUUAUGUGCCUAAUUUCAUACCAUAAGGGGGUCAUGUGCAAAAUAUCCAAACCACAAGGAGAUUAUGAGCCUAAUUUCAUACUAUAAGAGGUUUAUAUGCAAAAUGUCCAAACUAUAAGACGUUAAGUGCUAUUUACCCAAAAUAAAAUGAUGUGAUUGUUUAGUCUGCAACUGUAGUUUAAAAUAGGGAGAAUGGUAGAGUCUCACCUACCAACCAAUACAUGCUCAAACGAAUAUAUAUUUUAGCAUACAUGUAGUAUUAUUAUUAAUUAUAAAUCCAUGAUAUAACAACUUAAAUAAAAAAGGGACAUCUUUAAACAGAAAAUAAAUAAGAGAACCACUACAUCCACUAAGGCCUCGUUUGGUUAUCAAGAUAAGAUAAUUCUCCCCAUAAAACAAUAGUACAUUAUAAGAUGUUUGUUAUGAAAUUUUGAAUUUUUUGUCUACUCAUUAUUUAAAAGUGUUUGAUGUUUGGUUUCCUUAAUAUCAACCAAAUUACAUGAAUAUGACCGAAUUACCCUUUCUUAUUGUACAUAGUUUUUUUUUCUUUUUCUUUUUAAUGUUUAUAUUUUGUUACUUUUUAGUUUUUUUCGAAAAAAAUAGCAUUGUUAUUAAUUUGUCAAAUUCUCUGUCUUCUUCAAUUUUCCAGAUUUAAUUUUCAAAAAAAAAAAUAUAUUUUAUUUUUUCCAAAAAAAAUAUUUUUGAUUUUUUUAAAAAAUGAAAUUCGAACUUUUUUUUGAAAAAAAAUAUUUUUUAUUAUAUUUAUUAUAUUUUUCGAUUUCUUUUCACAAAAAAAUAAUUUGAAAAAAAUAAUACUUUUUUAGAAAAAAAAAUAUAUUUUUCCAUUUUUUUUACAAAACUUGUUUUUUUUUUGAAAUACUUUUCGGAAAAACAUAUUUUUUUCGAUUUUUCUUUUUUUAUUUUUUGAAACUUUUUUUUGAAUUUUAUUUAUUUUUAUUUUAUAUUAAUUGUUUUCUUUAAAAAAAAAUUAAUUGAAUUAUGUCAUUGUGAUAAAGAGAUGAAAACUAGAAGAACAAUUUUGUCAUUAACAUAUCUAAACAUAGUACAAUAAUUUUAUUGGACCUCUCAAGGUCCAAUUAAUUAUCUCUCAAUUUGCCAAAAUAAGUCAUGACAAAAUUAUUUUGGCGGAUCGACUCGGAAAAUAAUAGGGCUAACCAAAUAUCAAACUAAAUAUUCCUAUUUAGUUAAUCUUGGCUAAUCUUGCCAUCCAAACAUGGUCUAACUAUUCUACCUAACCACUAUUGAUAUGCCUAAUUCGACCGACCCAAUGGACCUACGAUUUAUUUAUCUACUGAACCACAAGUCCAAUUUAGAAGACAGAAGCCCAAUCACCUUGAAAUAAGAUUUGGGCCAAAUAAACUAACUCCAACCAAUUUAAGGAUCUAAUUCAUAUAUAAAUUAUUGACAACAAAUUACGAAUGCACAUGAAUCCCGUGGUACAAAUGCACGUGAAUUCCGUGGUAAUGGGUUCGAAGGAAUAUACGAUCAUCAUGCAUGUAUUGACUUGCAUCACAAAUAAAUUGAAUUAAAAUAAACAUCAGUCAGAUAAUAAUACACAUAAACCUUUAUAUCUAUUAUUAUUGCUUUUACUUCCCACCGACACAUUCAAUCAAUCUGCUAAUACUUACAACCUAUAUAUAUAUAUAUAUCUAAAAUCACUAGGGGUGGAAAUUGGAACGGAAUUUCCAAAUUCCGCCAAUUCCGAUCCGAAAAUAUCCGAAUUUGGAACACUUUUUUUCAUUCCGAAUUCUGAUAUUUCGAUUUCCGAUUAUUUUUGGAACGGAAUUGGAAUUACAUAUAAAAUUAUUGGAAAUUCCGAUUUCCGAUCCGAUUUUAUUUCCGAAUAUAUAUAUAUAUAUAUAUAUAUAUAUAUAUAUAUAUAUAUAUAUAUAUAUAUAUAUAUAUAUAUAUAUAUAUAUAUAUAUAUAUAUAUAUAUAUAUAUAUAUAUAUAUAUAUAUAUAUUUGUAUUUUUAUAAUAUAAUUUAUGAUAUAUAUUGUAUUUUUGAAUUGUUUUUCUAUUCAUGUUUUGCAAGAAUUAUGUUUGCUUUGUUAAAUUGAUUAUGUUGUUUUUACAAGAGUUAAAUUUUACCUUAUUGACCUUUAUUUUGGAUUCUUGUCUUUUGCCGGAAAAUUACGAAAAUAUUAGAAAAUUUCUAAAAAUUACUAUUAUUUCCGAUUUUGGAACAAAAAAUUUAGAAUUAAUGUAAUUUCCGAAAAUUCCGAAAUUCCGCCGGUUACGAGGUAUUCCGAAAUUGGAACGGAUUUUGAAAUUUCGAUUUAUUUGGAACGGAAAUUGGAACCCAUUUUUAACUUCCGAAAAAAAUUGGAAAUUUUCCGAAAAAGGCAUUUCCGAUCCAUUCCGUCCGAUUCCCACCCCUAAAAAUCACAUGUAUUCAAACGAGAACCACAAACCCUUUAUACGAUUGAUUUAGCCCACACAACAUAGAAAUUGAAAGAUAUGCCAAAUUAAUUAUUAUUAUCAAAAAUAUCAAUCAAUAUAGCAGUUUAUUGUGUAUUGAUUAUUUACUUGAUGUAUACAAUAAUACAACGAAAAUUUAGUUGAGAGUUCCAAAAAAAUAUUAGCAUUUAUCUAUUGUAUAUAAUAAUACAAGAAAAAAUUGAGGUGGGGGUCUCUAAAAAAUAUAUUUUAUAGCUAUAAGGAUACGUAAUAUUGUUGCCAUUUUGGGAAAGAGUUCAUGUGGCGUUUCCCCCUUCUAGUGGAAUCGUUUAAGAAAAACUAAACNNNNNNNNNNNNNNNNNNNNNNNNNNNNNNNNNNNNNNNNNNNNNNNNNNNNNNNNNNNNNNNNNNNNNNNNNNNNNNNNNNNNNNNNNNNNNNNNNNNNNNNNNNNNNNNNNNNNNNNNNNNNNNNNNNNNNNNNNNNNNNNNNNNNNNNNNNNNNNNNNNNNNNNNNNNNNNNNNNNNNNNNNNNNNNNNNNNNNNNNNNNNNNNNNNNNNNNNNNNNNNNNNNNNNNNNNNNNNNNNNNNNNNNNNNNNNNNNNNNNNNNNNNNNNNNNNNNNNNNNNNNNNNNNNNNNNNNNNNNNNNNNNNNNNNNNNNNNNNNNNNNNNNNNNNNNNNNNNNNNNNNNNNNNNNNNNNNNNNNNNNNNNNNNNNNNNNNNNNNNNNNNNNNNNNNNNNNNNNNNNNNNNNNNNNNNNNNNNNNNNNNNNNNNNNNNNNNNNNNNNNNNNNNNNNNNNNNNNNNNNNNNNNNNNNNNNNNNNNNNNNNNNNNNNNNNNNNNNNNNNNNNNNNNNNNNNNNNNNNNNNNNNNNNNNNNNNNNNNNNNNNNNNNNNNNNNNNNNNNNNNNNNNNNNNNNNNNNNNNNNNNNNNNNNNNNNNNNNNNNNNNNNNNNNNNNNNNNNNNNNNNNNNNNNNNNNNNNNNNNNNNNNNNNNNNNNNNNNNNNNNNNNNNNNNNNNNNNNNNNNNNNNNNNNNNNNNNNNNNNNNNNNNNNNNNNNNNNNNNNNNNNNNNNNNNNNNNNNNNNNNNNNNNNNNNNNNNNNNNNNNNNNNNNNNNNNNNNNNNNNNNNNNNNNNNNNNNNNNNNNNNNNNNNNNNNNNNNNNNNNNNNNNNNNNNNNNNNNNNNNNNNNNNNNNNNNNNNNNNNNNNNNNNNNNNNNNNNNNNNNNNNNNNNNNNNNNNNNNNNNNNNNNNNNNNNNNNNNNNNNNNNNNNNNNNNNNNNNNNNNNNNNNNNNNNNNNNNNNNNNNNNNNNNNNNNNNNNNNNNNNNNNNNNNNNNNNNNNNNNNNNNNNNNNNNNNNNNNNNNNNNNNAAAUUAAACCUGAAAUAAAAAAAUAUUUCAUCAGAUUCAAAUCGUAAUGGAUUAACAGUCUAACACAUGUAACACGACAACAAAAUAAUUCAAUUCUAAGGGUUUUUGGUAAUUAUGAAUACUUGAGGGGUUAUUUUCGUAAUUUGACUUUAGUUCAUGAAUUAUUUUCUCUAUUUUUACCCAUUAUUAAGUGAUGGCUACCUUCAAUGCAAACUCCAUGUCACUAGACCAAAACACGACACUGGCGACGAAAAAUUGCGACGAAAAUGACCCAGUUGCGACGAAAAUCGCAUGUUUGCGACGCAAAAUAUUCGUCGCAAUGAUGGUCCAAAAUCGUUGCUCUGUGUCUCGUCGCAAAUACUGCGACGAAAUUGUUUUCCGUCGCUCCGUAUGCGACGAAACGGUUAAAUCGUCGCAAUAUUUAGAUUUUCCUAGAAUAUUCAUUUUAUUUUCUAUUGCGACGAUACAUACUCUUUUCGUCGCAAUAUAUUGCGACUUUAAAGUCAUAAUCGUCGCAAAUAAUUUAGAUGUUUUUGCGUCAAAAUAUUUGAUUUCGUCGAUACACUAAAGUCAAUUUGCGACGAUAGUGGAUCCAUAAUUCGUCGCAUAUCUGUAGCUAUUGCGUCGAAAUAUAUUUGGUCCCAAAAUAAAUAUUUUUUCUUUUGCGACGAUUUCAAUUUUUAGUCGCAACUGCAACUGCUUUUUUUUUCUUAAAUUAGAUUUUUUUUUCUAAUAAAAAAUUAAAUAUGUACAUCAAUUGCAAUAAAUAAAAUUAGCUAUUACAUCAAAUAUCAAAACACAUUAAAAAUUAUGUCUUACAUUAAAAGUAAAUAUUAAGGUAACACACAAAUAUGAAUUCAAAAAAUACAUAAACUCAAAAUAAAGUCGUACAUAAGAAAAAAAAAUUAAGUCGCACACAAACAUGAAUCCAAGUAAGACAAACAAGAAUUAAUCCUUGUUUUGCGCCCACACGUUUAAUCCCAACUCCUUUAGACUUUACCAACACUCUUUCAUAAUCUAAUGAGUUGGCCGUACUUUCGUCACUUCCACCAAGUUACGCUCUUCAUAAACUUUCUCCAAUUCAACCUAAACAACUUAAGUGCACAAGUUAAACCCAAAUUUCGGCGGCAUAACGACUAAAAUACAAACAUACAAAAAAAUACCCGUAUCAAUAUACAAUAACCAAUAUAUCCAAAAAAUACAUAAAUCCAUAUAUAUCAACUACUAAUUCAACAUAUCAAUAUUGUGCUUGCAUAUCAACAUAUCAAUGUACAAUCAAAUAAUAGAUCGGAACUACGCCAUUAAUACAUAAAUUUUGAAAUAAAUCCCAACUUAGCAUUCAACAAUAAGAGCAAACAUGGAUAAUUGAGAUACUAAAAUUGAAGUAUUAAAAAUAUUGUGCUUACAGAAAUAGGAAGUUGGUCGGGAGUUGCAACUUUUAGAUUAUAUUCGUCGCAAUUGUGUUUUAAAUUUAUAUAAAAUAUUGAUUAUCGGAUGCGACGUUUUAAUUUUCGACGCCUGAGUUCUUCAAUUUAAUACUUAUACGACGUUACUUUAUGAAUCGUCGCAAACAUAUAAUUACAAAAUUAAUAUUUUAAUCUAUUUCGUGCGACGAUUCUAUGUUUCGUCGCAAUCGUAUUUUUUAUUUAUCUAAAAUUUUGAUUUUAAUAUGCGACGUAUUCAUUUUCGACACAAGAAUUUCUGAAUUGGGAAGAUAUGCGACGUUACUGUCGAAAUCGUCGCAAACUUAUGCUUAAUAAAAUAAAAUUUUAAUCUUCUCUCUGCAACGAUUAUCUAGUUUCGUCGCAAUCGUGUCAAAAAUUAAUUUUACGGAGCAACUUGCGACGUAUUUCUAGUUUCGUCGCAAUUAUUUAAUUUUAUAAAUGUUGAAAUCUUAUUUAUUGCGUCGUUUUGAUUAUUAUCGUCGCAACUGAUGUAUGUAAUUUUUUUGUUAUUAACUGUUGCGACGAUUUUUAAUUUUCGUCGUUCAAUUGCGACGAUUACGGAGAAUCGUCGCAUAUGUUUGAAGUUAAAUUGGAUCUUAAACUGAUUGCGACGUUUUGGGUACAAUAACGUCGCAAUACUGCGACGAAACAUGAAUCGUCGCAAAUAAAAUCGUCGCCAGAGUGCAAUUUUGGCCUAGUGUGUAUAGAGAAAAAUAAUAAAUAAGACAGUUGUAUUGAUUAAUUAUUGUGUCGGGUACAAUAAUAUAUAUUAUGUCGAAAUCAGAUUAUUAUAUGUACCUACCCGUCUUGAAAUUAUGGGAAAUCUGAUUAGUAUUAAUAAUAGUUCUGAAGGGAGAAAAUCUUCUCACUCUCACAACCACCAUCUUCUUAUCUUUUAUAAAUUAAAUUAAACCCCUACUUGGUAAGUCGACGACUAUGGACGACGACGAUCAGCUCGAAAAACUCGAGCAGCGAACAAACUGGGACGGCUGGCGGAUCGUCAAAUACCAAGGGUUUUGGUGCCCGCUGCCUUUUUUCCGAGCAGCGCUAUCCGCUCAAAAGUACUUCAAAGCAAAAGAUUCCGACAUUAUACUUUCGUCACUUCCUAAAUCUGGAACCACCUGGUUGAAAGCCCUCGCUUUUUCCGUCGCUAAUCGCAGUACUUACAUGAGCAACAUCGAUACUACUCAAAUUAGCCCUUUGCUCACUAGCAAUCCUCACAAAGUCGUCCCUCAUCUCGAGCUAAACCUUUAUCUAAACCAAGAAAAUCCCGAUCUCGAACAAACUAGCGCUCCGAGGAUCUUUUCGACACACAUGCCUUUCCAUGCCCUCCCCAAUUCCAUCCCUAAAUCCGGGUGCAAGAUUAUCUACAUCUGCAGAAACCCUAUGGACCAGUUCAUCUCGUUCCGCCAUUUCUCGCUCGACAACAAGUUCGGAGAAGAAGAUCGCCAUGGGGGCCCUGUUGAGUUGGACGAGGCUUUCGACAUGUUCUGCGACGGGGUCCAUCUGUACGGCCCGUUUUACGAGCAUAUAACUGGAUACUGGGAUGCGCACUUGAAGAAUCCCGACAAGGUGUUGUUCCUCAAGUACGAGGAUUUGAAAGACGACAUCGGCCUUCAUGUAAGGAAGAUUGCCGAGUUUAUGGGGUGCCCUUUCUCUCAGGAGGAAGAAGAACGGGGUUUGGUGGAGGAAAUAUGUAGGGUUUGCAGCUUCGAUAACCUCAAGAAUUUGGAGGUGAACAAGAGUGGGUCUUUUAAUGGUAGAGUGAAGAACAGUUCAUUCUUUAGGAAAGGAGAAGUUGGUGAUUGGGCGAAUCAUCUUACUCCCGCCAUGGCUGAAAGAAUGGACAAGUUGAUCAACACUAAACUUGAGGGCUCUGGUUUAACACUACGUACACAUCAACACCAAAAAGCUACCUGAAGAUGAAGAUGAAGAUGAAGAUUAAUUAAUUAAGCUACUAUAUAUAUUGAACUAUAUGCUUUUAAUUCUCUCUAUCAUGUAUUGUAAUUUACAGUGUUGUUUGUAUUUAUGUUUUCAGUGUGUGUGUGUGUGUGUUCAUUACAAAUAAACGAACCCUAUAUAUCAUGGGUUCUUUCUUGUUUCCGGAUUCAAUAUGUUGAACUAUAGUUUUUACUAGUCCCAAUCUUUUAGGCUCUGACUCGUUUGCGUAAAAUAAGUGGUAAAAAGGUGAAAAAACUAAGUAAAAUGUUUUACUUGUUUGGUUGAGAGGUAAAAUGGUAUGUAGUGUAAAUUGGGGAAAAAGGUGAAAAUAUUUUGAACUUAAAAUAAGGAAAAGUCGUUUUCCUAAAAAAAAUUGAAGAAAAGACAAUGUAAAAUUUCAUCGGCUCUCUCAGACUCCCGAUACCCCAUCCCUAUCCCUGCAUGGCUGCAUCUACUAUCAUUGCCCUCCGCCGCCGAUGCCGCCACUAACUCCACUCGAGGAACCAAAAAGGACAAUAAGCUUGCCAAACCACCGCCACAAGUCAUCCACCGGAGAAACUAGAAAGCAACCAAGACGAUAACCACCAUCCCCUCACCACUUCACCUAAUUCAGCAAGUAUUUGAGAUAAUUUUUGUUUUUAAAUUUAAUUUAUUUUUUAAUAAUGAUUUAUUGUUAUUUUUAUUUUACUUGACAUUUUCUUCAUCAAUUUUUCUAGGACCUAAACAAAAUCAAGGAAGGGGAUUUUUGAGAAAGUCAUUUUCAUCACCAUUUUGCUUAGGUUCCAAACACAAUUGGAUUUUUAAAAGUUAUUGAUUUUUUUUUUUCCUUUGCAUUUUCAUUUUCAUUAUUUUGAAAUUCAUAAACUAUUCAGAGCCUUAAUUUCGUUAAAAUUAAGAAUAUUAAUGACCGUAAUAAUAGUAAUAAAAGGGGUUCUUAUCAAUAAGUCCCUGACCAACCAUCUUUGUUAUUCUAGGUUCAUGGGUUAUAUUUCUUUCGCCAAUAAGUUAAUCUCUUUAAUAUGUAUUAUAAAUAAAGACAAAAUUAAUGUAUAUGACAAAAUUACCCCCAAACCUUUAAAUCUAAUUCCUAGUUGUAACCCCAAUUUAAUUUCAAUUUCGCAUAAAUCCCCCAUAUAUUGAAAAAAAUCAUGCACCAAACUCCCUUGUGUUAUGAAAAACUUGCAUGCAAUCUCCUAAAUAGUUAACGGUGUUAAUUGUUAACGAAAUGGGAUAUUUCAUACAAGGUAGAAUAAAACAAAGUGGGAUUCCACGCAAUAAAAUUAAGACAGAGAAAUUUUGUGCAUGUUUUUCAUAACACGAGGGAUUUUUAUGCAGUUUACCCAGUAUUAUAAGAAUAAAAAUGAAGAUAUGAGAGCUCUUCCCUUUCAUAUAUGAACUGAUCUCGCAAUGGUCAAUUCAUACACCUAUUGCCCAGAUCUUCUGGAUUGAAUUCCUAACAAGACUCAAGACAUAGAAACCAAGUUCUUAGUACAAAAGAAUAUAAACAGACUCAGAUAAUGUAGUGAAUACAAAAAAACAUAGCAAUAUAAUGUAUUUUUCUGGUUGUGUUCAACAUUCUUCACAGUACUCAAUAUCUAUCAGCUCUCAAUUAUGGUUCGCCGGAACGUCGCGGUCGGUCGUCGCGGACAUCGCCGUUCUAGUUCCAUUGCAAUGUCACGGCUGCGUCGCGACCGGAACGGACAAAUUAUAAUUAAAAUGCGAAAAAUUAGAAUUAAUGUCAAAUAAAUUUUUAGUAUUAAUAUUAUAGUAGAAUAAUAUACAAGCUAUCCUUAAAACUCCUAUUUUAAUUUUAGAACAAGUUUUAAAACCUUGAGAAGUAGAAUUAAGGGUGAAAAUGUAAGUUAUGAAAUUAUCUCUUUACUUUAAGAGAAAUAAAAAAAAAUAUGACUAAAUUGCAAAUUUUGAAAACUUAAAAAACCUACUCAUAAAUUUAGGGCUGGCAAUCGGGCCGUGUGAGCCGAGCCUGGGUCGGCUCAAGCUCAUAUACCAUCGGGCCUCAAUAUUAUAGGCUCAAGCUCAAAUACCAUCGGGCCUCAUGCCUAUAGGCUCAAACUCGGCUCACGUAUUUUUUCGGGUUUCGGGUUUAUAUCGGGCUUAUAUCGGGCAAUAAAUAAAUUACAUAUUUUACAACUUUGUAGUCGGACGUGUGAAAGAAAAAAAAGCUUCACAGUCUAAGAGAAAAUUUAGAAUAUUCAUUGAAAAUCAAAAUAGGCUAAAAAAAAAAACCAUAGUCUACUGUUCAUUAAAACAAAUGAAGGUUAUUGUUGCAAAUAUUUAAUCAUUAAUUAAUUAUAUGAAAAAAUGCAUCCGAGUCCAAAAUAUAAAAAAACAUAAAAUAAAAUAACUAAAAGCAAUGAUAAAUGUCCUCCUAUCUCUUUUCGAAAAUCUUGAUUCAUGAAAUAUAUAUAUAUAUAUAUAUAUAUAUAUUCGGACUUUAUUCGGGCUGAGCCAUGCUAAACUCAAACUCGGCUCAUAAUUUAAUUGGGUUUAAUGAAACGGCUCAAAUUCGGCCCGGCUCACAAUUAAUCGGGCUCGGCUCAAAUAAAAUCGGGCCGAGCUAUCGGGCUUCGUGUAGGCCCGGCUCAAUUGCCGGUUCCACUCAUAAUCAUGACACGUCAUUCCCUAGCCCCAAAUCAAUACAUUUAAAGUGUUGGAGCUAAUUGUAAUUUUUUUAAAAUUUUAAUUAAAAGUGAAAACUUAAAACUCUAGUUUGAGAUCCCUAAAUCGUCCUUGCAGAUAUGAAGAAGUAAAUUAUGACGAUUCAUGUUGUUCCAGACCAUUUCGGUACGUGUGACAGCCGCGACCAUCCGUUUUGUUGCUAUGUCCCAAUGUUCCGGCCGUUUUUUGCCCUUUUGGCAACGUUUUUCGUUGUGGAACGGUUGGUUAUGGUUUCGGGAACGGAGGGCACCGUUCCCGUUACGUUCUGGCCGUUCCGGCGAACCAUGCUCUCAACUCUUCUUCUCUCGAAACUCCACAUUUCAAAUGAUUGAUUGAGCGGUUAUUUAUAGACUUUAUACACCUUGCGUACAUGGCCUGUAAGGAAACCUAAAAACAUACAAUAAAAAAUGGGGUUUUUUGCAAGAACCACCCUUGUGUAAUCUUUAAUUGCUGAAAACCCCUCGUGUUAAAAAAAUUAGCAAGGACCCGCCUAUGAAAGUUAGUCAAAGCCAAUAAGGCCCCUAACAUCUUAUCUUGUUCUACACGCGCACAUUGUGCGGCUGGGCUGCAUAUUUUGACCUGAAAACAUAUAAAUACCCUUUAAAUAAAAAGUGGAAAAUUACAUAUUGGCCCCAAAAUUUUCAUAACCCCAAAUUGAAACUUUAAGAAUUUUCAAUUGAGCCCUUAACAAUUUCUAAAACGCCCUCUCUCCAAAUCAUCUCAUCCCCAAUCAAACUCUCCACAAUUUUCACGCAAAACACACACACAAUGCUUCCUGAUGGUGCCCCCUUUGCAAAUAUAUUUUUUUUCCUGCAAAAUGUUUGGAAGGUACCUCACCAAAACAACCCACUCCCAAAUCUGCCUUUCCUCUGUUCCAUCUCUCUCGAGAAACUCCGACCACUUCAACCGGCGACAUAUUCCACAGUUCCGUCGACGAAGAAGGGGCACGAGCAUGUUGAGUAUGGGGCGACGGCGGCGGGUGGGUAUGGUGACGGGGGCAGCGUAUGGCGGCAGAGUAUGGGGCGGGGGCAGCGGCGGUAAUGGCGGUUGGGUAUGGUGGUGACGGCUAACACCGGCAGAGUAUGGGGCGGCGGCGGCGGCGGCGGUGGGUGGAGGUAAUGGAGGUUGGGUAUGGUGGUGGAAGAUUGAAGGAAGAAGGGGAACAACAAAAAUGGCUUAUUUGCUGAUUGUUGAAGAAGAAUUAUUUUGGGUGGGGGUGGGUCAACGGGGACAGGAAGACUCUUCUCCAUAUUUCUUGUUUUUUUUUUUCACGAAUUUUCAAUUGGAUUUUCGGUAUAUUGCAAGGUUAAUUUUGUCAUUUCAUUUAAGUCAACAACUAAAUCUGAUAAAAAGGGUUGUGUGCUAUACAAAACCAAACAUAAGGGGGUAUUUGCUAAUUAUUUUAUCACGAGGGCUUUUAUGCCAAUUAGAAAUAACACAGGGGGGUCUGUGCUAUUAGCUCUAAAAAAUGGGUUAGUGAGUUAGUUAAAUAGUGAUUAUAAACAUUCCACUAAACCCCUUAUGCAAAAACCGAAAAGCAACUUUUCCAACCAUGAUCCAAAUCGGUUAAGAUGGUCAAAACAUGUUUGCACCAUCGUCCGAUAAUGAAUUGGUAAAUUCACGACUAAGAGCUGAAAUAACAACAAUGAGUAUUUUCUGAACUUCCGCCUCAACAACCCAAAUCGCAUAUGCAGCAGUGGAACCAAAUUCAGUCUUAAUUCUAAGAUCGAUGAAAACCAAAAAAAUUGUUUAACAACAAUGAGUAUUUUUUUUUUUAUUUUUUUUUAUUUUUUUGUAAGAAUUAAUUAUUCACUAUUAAGACUUGAUAUUUUUAAUAGAGGAGGUACAUAUAGUGUAUAAAAAUAAUUUGUAAUAUAUGUAAUAAGGUCAAACAGACAAACACUCAAAAAAUCACAACUAACACUUCUUAAAUGAUCGAUAAAAUUAAAAAAAAUCUCCUCAUACACAACGGCUAGUACAAAGGGAUCAGAUUUUAUUAUUAUUAUUACAAACACCCCUAAGGUAUGGUCAAUUUACAAAAAAAAACCCUCUUGUUUGGAUAAUUACAUCUACCCCCUCAACUAUGAUUUUUUCUUCCACCUCCACCCUUAUGGUGUCAAAUUCAACAUAAUCAUCUAGAUUUCGUGGAAUAUGCUCUAGUUUGUACUCGUUUUGUGUACAAAUACAGUUUCUGAUGCACCACAAUCUGAUAUAUAGAAGCCAAAAAACACAUAUUAUGAUCAUCUUGCUUCGAAAUGUAGAGUUCAAAUGGGAUAAAACAGGUACAAAAAUGAUAAUAUUUCAUAUAAUAUAAUCUCGAAUAUUCCACUAAAUUUAAGGAGUUGANNNNNNNNNNNNNNNNNNNNNNNNNNNNNNNNNNNNNNNNNNNNNNNNNNNNNNNNNNNNNNNNNNNNNNNNNNNNNNNNNNNNNNNNNNNNNNNNNNNNAUAUAUUUAUAUAUAUAUAUAUAUAUAUAUAUAUAUAUAUAUAUAUAUAUAUAUAUAUAUAUAUAUAUAUAUAUAUAUAUAUAUAUAUAUAUAUAUAUAUAUAUAUAUAUAUAUAUAUAUAUAUAUAUAUAUAUAUAUAUAUAUAUAUAUAUAUAUUAAUUAACCCUCUCAUUAAAUAAUAUUAUUACGUUAAUUACCCCUAAGUGUAAAUUAAACUAAAACCUCUUUUUACAAAAUAUUCCUUUAAAUAAAAAAAUUCUAUCAAAAUUCACACCGUAAUGGAUCAAACUAUGUACGACGACAACAAAAUUCGGAGGGGUUUUUGUAAUUAUGAAUACUUGAGGGUUUUCUCUGUAAAUUUACCUUAGAUUCAUGAAUUUUUUUCUCUUUAUGUAAUUAUUGCCCAUACUACAAAGUCCAUCUGUAGAGAACAAAUAAAUAAGAGAACCACUACAUCAUUAUGUAUAGACUAUAGAGUAAAGAGUCAUGGAUAUUAUAUAUUCCCACGUAUAUCGAUCGAUUACCACGUGCAAUAAUACAAUACAAAUCAGAUUAUUUUAAACUCCAAAUCCUUAGUUUAUGGGAAAUAUCUUAUCUUCUUAUAUUUUAUUUAUUAUUAAAUAAACCCCACCUCUUCUACGUAGUUGGUACAUUAUUAGCUGGCAUGACUUUGUUAUUUAAAUUUGGCCAGCCCACAACCACGCACAGCCGAUACAUGAUACUAAUACAUAAUAAUCCAAUCAAUAGCUAGACAACAUUUCCCUGAAAGAAAGAAAAAAAAAAGGAAAACGAAAAUCCCAAAUUUAAUGGAAGAAGAUGAGCUCCAAAAAUCCGAGCAGCGGACAAAUUGGGACGGGCGGCGGCUUGUCAAAUACCAAGGGUUUUGGUGUCCGUUGCCGUUUUUCCGACUAGUUUUAUCCGCUCAAAAGCACUUCAAAGCAAAAGCUUCCGACUUAAUACUUUCCUCACUUCCUAAAUCAGGAACCACCUGGUUGAAAGCCCUCACCUUUUCUCUCGCUAAUCGCAAUAUUUACCCCAACAUCGAUACUCAAAGCCCUCUACUCACUAGCAACCCUCACAAAGUCGUCCCUUUUCUCGAGCUAAAUCUUUAUCUAAAUCAAGAAAAUCCCGAUCUCGAAAAUCAAGAAUUUAGUACUACAAGAAUCUUUGCGACCCACGUGCCUUUCGAUGCCCUUCCAAGUUCCAUCUCUAAAUCCGAAUGCAAGAUUAUCUACAUCUGCAGAAACCCUUUGGACCAGUUCAUCUCGUUCCGCCAUUUCUCUCUCCAAAACAAGUUCGGGGAAGAAGACCACCAUGCCGGCCCGCUUGAGUUGGACGGGGCUUUCGACAUGUUUUGCGAUGGGGUCCAUCCGUUCGGCCCGUUUAGCGAGCAUAUGAUUGGAUACUGGGAUGCCCACUUGAAGAAUGCUGACAAGGUGUUGUUCCUCAAGUAUGAGGAUUUGAAAGACGAUAUUGCCCUUCAUGUAAGGAAGAUUGCCGAGUUUAUGGGGUGCCCUUUCUCUCUGGAGGAAGAAGAACGGGGUUUGGUGGAGAAAAUAUCUAGGGUUUGCAGCUUCGAUAACCUCAAGAAUUUGGAGGUGAACAAGAAUGGAUAUUCUGUUAAUGGAAUAGUGAAGAACAGUUCUUACUUUAGGAAAGGAGAAGUUGGGGAUUGGGCUAAUUAUCUUACUCCCGCCAUGGCUGAAAGAAUGGAGAAGGUGAUCAAGAGUAAACUUCAGGGCUCUGGUUUAACACUAAACAUCAACUCCUAAGAGCGAGCUGUGAAGAUGAAGAUCAUAUGUACUUUAAUUUAUAUUGUUGUUUGUAUUUAUGUUUUCAGUGUGUGUUGCAUCAACAAAUAAACGAACCCCAAUUCGUGAUUUGGGUUCUUUCUGUUUCCAGAUUUGUGUUUAUGAAUCAAAAUGGUAUUAUUAAAGGGCAAAUGUCAAUUAAACUUAUCCCCAUGUCUUUAGUCUAAAAUAUCCUCUAUAAUAUAAUUUUUAUCAAUUCCGCCCAUUAUGUUCUAACUUUCUUAAUAUUACACAUUGACCCCGGAUUUAAAUAAAUAUAUCACAUUAACUCUCCAAAUUGUUUUUUCCGACCAGAUUCCGGCGUUGACCUUUUUUUUUCUUUUGAAAUUUUAUUUUUUCCUGAAUUUUUUUCCGGCCGGUCAACCACCGUUGACCGCCAGUCUCCGGCGUUGACUUUUUUUUUUUUUUUUGCAUUUUUUUUUCUUAGAAAUUUUUUUUUUUAAUUAAUAUUACUAUCUUGACUACUAAAUUACUGUCUCAGACAGUAAUACUGUUUGGGACAGUAAUAUUAUGAAUAUUAUUUUCCCGAACAGUAAUAUUAUUAAUAUUAUUGUCUGAGACAGUUAAAUUUACUGUUGGACAGUAAUUUAGCAGCCAAUGCAUUAAUAUUAAUUAAAAUAAUUUUUUUAAGAAAAAAAAAAAAACAAAAGUCAAUUAGAGAAUUAAAAGGGAUAAUUAGCAAGAACCCCCAUCUAGGAAAAUGAGUCAAGAAAACACCGCAUCCCAAUAAUAAUUAGAGAAAACCCCCUUAGCUAAUAUUCCACUCAUGUGAUAUUUUCAUAAUUCCAAAAUUACCAUUAAUUGUCUAUUAUACUCUUUCAAAACCCUAAUCUUAGUUUUAUUUUUUUCAUCCGCCGUUUUCACGCUCCAACGUUUCUCUUCUUCUUUGUUUUUUUUCUCUGUUUUCUCCGUAACUUCUCCGCCACUGUCGCCGCCGCCGCCGGGAGAUGGAGAAAGAAAGAAGAUGAAGCACCCAUCAAACAUUAUAAAUGAUUUUGAUAGCAAUUCUGAAUUCGAAUGCCAGGAAUGCUACAUCGGAGGCGAAUAGAGAUAAGAUUGUCGAUUUGUCGCCGGAAUCUGAUUUUGAUGGGUGGUGGUUCUGCUUUGGUUGGUGGUGCGAGUUGUGAUUUUAUUUAUUUAUUUGUAAUAAAAAACCGUCAUAAUGUCAAAGUAAGGUGGUGAUGGUCUGUUGUGGCGGCAGUGUGGUGACAAUGGGAAUGUAGAUUUUGGGUUUUUUAGUGGAUCAGGCAGAGGACGGCGCCGGUAGAUAAUUUCGCGCAUGCUGAAAUCUUAAUCGACUAUGUACAUGUUCUUAGUCGAUUAAGCUAAUUGACUAUGAUCUGGCAGUCGAUUAAGCUAAUCGACUAUGCUCUGGCAGUCGAUAAAGGUUGAUCGACUCCAACUUUUUUUAUUUUUUCUUAACUUUUUGUUUUUUGAUUCCAAUUGUAUAAAUCAUUUAUAAUAUUUGUAUAUUUUUUGUUUUUGUAAUAUAUAGUUGAUUUUGUAUUUUUUUCGCAGUUGAGAUUUGUUAUUUUUAGUAGCAGAUUUUUAAUCGAUUAUGCUUCACAUCAUAGUCGAUAAUAUACCCGAUAUAGAAAAAAAAAUUAAAAAUAAAAAAUAAAUAAAAAAAAUUAAAUAAUUUCUUUAAUGGACUAUGAAGCAUAGUCGAUUAAGGCUAAUCGACGAUGCUUCAUAGUCGAUUAAGGAAACUGAUACAGAAAAGACGGGAAAAAAAACGGAAAAAAAAAAACCGCUGAGCGCGUGACCCAGUGAUGAUGUGGCGGGCGAAAAAGUUGGAAAAUAUAAUGGCUGAAAAUGGGUGUAGGCUUUUCUCAAAUGGACUAAAAUAUUUUAGGCCUCCUUCCAUUAAAAAAAGUAGUAAGAGAAUUUUCUCAAAGAGCCCCAUAUUGAAAUUUAAUCUAACAUUUAAGAUUUCAGAUUAUAAUAGUAUUCAAUGAGUUUUAAAUUGAGAUAAUACAUUGUACUUGUGAAUUUAAUAAGUUGACCUUAUGGAGUUUUAUAAAAAGGCCAAUUUGCUAAGGCAUUAAUCUCCUUUCAAAUUAAGGCAGUUAUUUUCUUGGAUUUUGCUAAACAAAUACGCAUUUAUUCAAUUUAAAAAAUAAACAAACAAACAAACAAAUGUUCAUCUUCUCGUGUGGUUCUACACGAAAAAUGUCGUUGUGCUCGCGUAGAAUCACGCUAAUACUGCCAGAGGCGUUAUUUUAAAAAAUAAAAUCAAUAAUCAUAAUCUACGUAACGAAACAAUUAAAAAAAUUGAGAAAUUACCUGCGAUGUCGUCUCGGUCGGGAUCUGAAACCGAACUCUUAAAGCUUGAGAGAGUUUGUGAGAGUUUUUAUCUAUUGAUUUUUAAAGAAUGGUAAAAAAAAAAGUGCCUGCAAAUUUAAAAGGUACCUACACAAAUCAUUUCAGUUAUAUAUAUAUAUAUAUAUAUAUAUAUAUAUAUAUAUAUAUAUAUAUAUAUAAUUUUUAUUUUCUAUUAAUAAAUGAACACGCGGUUAAACAUAUAGGUGCAUUGUCAUGGCCUCAUGGGGUAUAUUUAAAAUCAAACAAGUUGUGCAAAACAUAAUGAUAGCAUAAUAUAAAAUGAUGAUAUAUAUGUCAUAUAAGAUAUAAAGAUGUAAAUUAUAGAUAGAGAUCAGAGUGGGUGACAAGUUGAAUUAUUUGCUAGUUUUUGAACAAUUUGGCACAAGUUGGCAUAAUAUAUAAGGGGUAAUCACAAAAAAGCCCAUGACAAGAGCACUUAAUUAAAAGAGUUUGUCUUUCAAAUAAAUCCACCCCAUUCAAACUUAUUUGCAAAUAAGGAAAAUUCCUUUAUAUAUACCAAAAUUACCCCCAAUUCAUUGAAACCCAAUUCAACUUCAAUUUCAUGAUUUACUCCCCAAUUUAGCCCAAUUUCAUCAAUUAACCAAUUUUAACCAUAAUUUCAAUUUUGACCCCAAUUUUAACCCUAAUUCUUAUCAAUUCCACCCAUUAUGCUCUAACUUCUUAAAUAUUACACAUUGACCCCGGAUUUAAACAAAUAUAUCACAUUAACCCCCAAAACCUUUUUUUUUUCAGAAAAUAAAUUUUUUUUCUGAAAUAUUUUUUUUCCGGCCGGAUUCCGGCGUUGACCGCCGGAGACCGCCGGUCUCCGGCGUUGACUAUUUUUUUUUUUUUUUUUGAAUUUUUGUUUUCCUGAAAAUUUUUUCCGGCCGGUCAACGGCCGUUGACCGCCGGGUCUCCGGCGUUGACUUUUUUUUUUUUUUUUUAAUAAUUUUGUUUUUUCUUAAAAAAAAUAUUUUAAUUAAUUUUACUGUCUUGGCUGCUAAAUUACUGUCUCCGACAGCUAUUUAACUGUCGGAAACAGUAAUUUAACUGUUAAUUGCAUGUUUUUUUUUUCUUCAAAAAUAUUUUAAUUAAUAUUACUGUAUUCGUUGCUAAAUUACUGUCUCCAGCAGUUAUUUAACUGUCGGAGACAGUAAUUUAACUGUAAUUGACUUUUUUAUUCUUAAAAAAAUAUUUUUAAUUAAUAUUACUGUAUUCGUUGCUAAAUUACUGUCUCCAGCAGUUAUUUAACUGUCGGAGACAGUAAUUUAACUGUUAAUUGACUUUUUUAUUCUUGAAAAAAAUAUUUUUAAUUAAUAUUACUGUAUUCGUUGCUAAAUUACUGUCUCCAGCAGUUAUUUAACUGUCGGAGACAGUAAUUUAACUGUUAAUUGACUUUUUUUUUUUUUUUCCUUACAAAAAAAAUAAUUUUAAUUAAUAUUACUGUCUUGGAUGUUAAAUUACUGUCGGAGACAGUAAUUUAACUGUCUUAGACAAUAAUAUUAAUAAUAUUAUUGUUCGGAAAAAUAAUAUUCAUAAUAUUACUGUCCCAAACAGUAAUAUUACUGUCAGAGACAGUAAUUUAGUAGUCAAGACAGUAAUAUUAAUUAAAAUAUUUUUUUCUAAGAAAAAACAAUUUCAAAAAAAAAAAAAAAAAAAAAAGUCAACGCCGGGGACCGGCGGUCAACGGUGGUUGACCGGCCGGAAAAAAAUUCAGGAAAAAAAAAAUUUCAAAAAAAAAAAAAAGUCAAUGCCGGAAUCUGGCCGGAAAAAAAACAUUUCAGAAAAAAAAUUAUUUUCUGAAAAAAAAAAGUUUUGGGGGUUAAUAUGAUAUAUUUGUUUAAAUCCGGGGUCAAUGUGUAAUAUUAAGGAAGUUAGAGCAUAAUGGGUGGAAUUGUUAAGAAUUAUAUUAUUGAGGGUAUUUUAGACUAAAAACAUGGGGAUGGGCUUAAUUGAGAGACUGUUUUUUUUUUUGGACUUAAAUGCAUUUAAGUCCCAUGUGAUGGGCCUUUUUGCCAUUUGCCCAAUAUAUAAAAUGAAUGUAUAUUUUUAUAUCGACCUAUGAAACAUAUAUUAAUUAAAUACAUAUUUAAUAUGUAGUUUCACGUUCAUAGACAAUAUAAUUGAAAAAUAGAAUGAUGUUGUCGUUUAGUCUGCAACUGUAGUUUAAAAUAGGGAGAAUGGUAGAGUCUCACCUACGAACCAAUAUAUGUUCAAUGAAUAUAUACUUUACCAUACAUGUAGUGUUAUAAUUAAGGGCAAAUGACACUAGCUCACAUGCAUGUGUAUAGCUCAAUGAUUUCGGAGGUGGUAACUUGGUACAAGGUCUUAUUAAAUAAAAGAGGGGCAUCUAAUUUUUUUAGAAUAAAUUACAACCACUCCUAAUGUAUAGUUAAAUUACGAAAACGCCCCUCCUGUUUGGGUAAUUACAACCACCUCCUCAACUAUAAAUCUUCUUACACGUCUACCCUUGCGGUUUAAAAUUUAGUUGAAUCUUCGAUAUUAUAUGGAAUAUUAUUACUUUUGUACCCGUUUAUUCCAUUUGAACUCCACAUUUUGAAGCAAGAUGAUCAUAAUAUGUAUUUUUUGGCUUGUAUGUAUCAGAUUGUGGUGCAUCAGAAACUGUAUUUUACACAAAACGAGUACAAACUAGAACACAUUCCACGAAAUCUAGAUAAUUAUGUUGAAUUUGACACCAUAAGGGUGGAGGUGUAAGAAAAAAUCAUUGUUGUGGUGUAGAUGUAAUUAUCCAAACAAAUUAAAAGGACUUUUCUCAGAAAUUUACCAUAUACAUUAGGGGUGAUUGUAAUUUACCCAUUUUUUUUUUAUUAUUUUUGCAAAGUAACCUAUUCUUUUCACAUUAUUACUAAUAAAGGAAACUCUAAGUUUUAUUGCAAAGUUAUUUAUUUAAGGGCACUAAAUUUACGAUGGUUGUCACCAAUUCAUCAAUUUUAACCCAAUUUUGAAUGUUGUCGCGGUCGAUUGCAAGUCAGUCAAUGUUCAUCGCAUGUUACGGCAUUGACUUUUUUCUUACAUUUUUAUAUGAUUUUAAUUUUGACUUCUUCGUAGUUUUUUUCAACAUAUUUUUUCCAUAGUUUUAUUUAUUCGGCAUGUUGGUGGUUAAGUGGCUCGAAAUAAGGAGUUUGGGCGUGUUCGUGCAAUUUUUUUUUUGUUAAGGUGGCAAUUACAAAAACGGACAAAGUACAGGUGGUAAAAUGUUAUUUACCCUUUUAUAAAUAACAAAAUUAUGUAGUUAAAAGUGAAACUUCUAGUCUACUAUCCCAACAACACUAAUAUUUUUCGAGCUGCAUGCAUUCAACGAACCAAGCAUACCCAAGAAUCUUGCACCUCGGCUACACUGGAUCCCUCCACCUGAGGAUAGUCGGGGUUAAUUUUAAGUGCCGGCUUCAAAUGUAAUUCGCCGGCACUUGAAGGGGCAUGUUGAAGAUAUUAAUAUUAAAUAAUACAUUUCACUAACUUUUGGUUGAGGUGGUCAUUCAACAGUGUCGAAACAAUUGUUUUUUUUCAACAUUAGCAUUCUCAUUCACACAACAAAUUUAAGGGACAAAUAUGAAAUCCUCAAAGUACAAACUUAUCUUUUUUAUUUUGCUUUGAAGAUAUUUUGCUUUUCAAUUAGAAAUAAAUCGAUUUUUAGAUUCAGUGUAACAUAUUUCUAAAUAUUAUUUGUAAAUACUUAAAAACGUGUAAAAAAAAUUAAUUAAACAUGAUUCUCUCCCCAUCGUUUAUAUAUUAUAAUCACGCAACAAAAGUUUAACAAUAAUAAGAUCAUAAUACAAUAAAGAUUCUUAAUAAAUACAAACAUAACGCAAAUUUUGUGCAUUCAAAAUUAUGCUUUUGCAUUGCAAACAUGUAUCAUUACUUCAUUAGGUCCUUCAAAAAAACAAUUAACAUAAACAAAACAGAAAAAACAAUUAACAUAAACUAUGUUCAUUAGAUCACUACUGAGAUUUCUGAUUCUUCUUCUCCAUAUCCUUCCAACACUUGUACACCAUUAGGUUCAAAUUCGAACUCAGUGAGAUAGAGAAGAAUGCGGCCGCGGUGUGUCGAUUGUUUUGUGUUUUUGUUUAGGCCAGGUUCUUUUAUGGAGUUGAUGAGUUUGGUUUUGAUUGAAAGAGAUAAUGGGUUGGAAUUGAAAAAAAUAAAAAAUAAAAACUCUAUUUUCGUUAUAUCACUCGAAGCUUGACCCGAUAUAUGGGUUUGACCCGCCACUGAUCCGCCACAAACCGCCUUACCGUCAAAAAUCGGUUUUCAAAACCGCCACACAAAUAUCGUAAAGGUUUAUGACCGCCACCGAUAUGGCGGCCGAUAUAUCGACCGCCACGACCGAUAUUUUGAACACUGCUGAUUAUGUAGAAUUAUGGUUUUGUAAUCUUGUUUAUAGAAAAAACUAUAUUUUAUACAAAUACUCAUUUGAUUCAGGGAAUUUCUUGUUAAUGCAAAUAAAACAUUUACUUAUUUUAUUUUAUCUUAUUACAAUACCCUUAAAACCAAAAUCUUUUAGCUCAUCGCCCCUGAUUACAUUGUUUACGGAUUAUAGAGUCAAAGGAAAUUAUAUAUUCCCACAUGUACAAGUGUACAAUAAAGAAUACAAUAUAAAUCUCUAUUAUAUACUACCUACCGAUCCUUAAUUUAUGGGAAAUUUGCUUAAUAGUCAACUAAAAUAUCUUCACACCACCACCAAUAUCUUAUAUUUUAGUGGAAAUUACAACAACCCUGAGGUAUGGUCAAAUUACGAAAAACCCCCUUCUAUUUGGGUAAUUACAAUAGCCCAUCAACUAUAAAUCUUCUUACACAUCUACCUUUACAGUUUCAGAUUUAGUGAAAUCUUUGAGAUUAUAUGGAAUAUUAUAACUUUUGUACCCGCUUUAUCCCAUUCGAACUCCACAUUUUAAAGCAAGAUGAUCGAUAUAUGUGUUUUUUGGCUUAUAUAUAUCAGAUUGUGGUUCAUCAGAAACUGUAUUUUUACACAAAGUGAGUACAAGCUAGAGCACAAUCCACGAAAUCUAGAUGAUUAUGUUGAAUUUGACACCAUAAGGGUGGUGGUGUAAGAAAAAAUCAUAGUUGAGGGGGGUAAAUGUAAUUAUCCAAAAAAGAGGGGUUUUUUGUCAAUUAACCAUACCCAGAGGUGAUUUUAAUUUACCCUAUAUUUUAUAAAUCUCACCUCUUUUACGUAGUUGCGACAUUACCAUGACUUUGUUAUCUAUUUUAGGGCAAAGUUCACUUUGCACCCCUGAAUUAUGGGGUGUGUUGCAAAUGCACAUCUCAAUUACGAAACAUAUCAAAUACCCCCUUAUGUUUCUACGUAACCCAUUUGAAUAUGCUGAUAUCACCUAUUGACUUUCUUAUUGUUUUUCUUUGGGACCUUUUUACCCCUAUUAUGUAAGGGUUCACAGCUUAUGUGUCUUAUUUUUUUACCUAUAGUGUUUCCACAUUUUUUAAUUUGAAAUUAGUUAUUUUUGCUCUUUUUUUCUCUUAACUUCACUAUAAUGUUCAGCUCUAGUUGUUAUCAUGAGCUCAAUUUCAUAUACCAAUCAUAACCAUGGAUACCUGAUUUUUUUAUUAAACGAAGUAUCUCAAAAUAGGACAUCAAACCAGGGUAAACAUCUCACUCAAUAUAAAUGAAAGCACAAACAUAUUCAAACUCCCUAAACAGACCUUCAUAAUGAAUUUUAAUUAUUAAAAAAAAUGAUCUGCCAUUAUAACCUAAAAAAGAUAUGCUUAAGUUUAUACAAUAUCAAAUUAAGAGCUUAACAAUUUCUUAAAUAGUCAUCCAAGUACUGUUUGCAAGAUGAGCUAUCUUGAAAAAAAGGAAAAUGAUAAUGACCUUGUAUUUUUUUUUUUUCUUUUUUUUGCUGAAAUAUUUAUAAGUAAUGAAUUUCACAUAUAUUUCGCAUAAACUAUAGUUGGGUGUAAGAUUAAUUGCAAAAAAAAAAAAACAUUACAAAACAAAUGUCUUUGCAUUUUUGUAAGUUUGACCAGAAAAUAUAGAGGGUAUUUGGUACGUUUCUUAAUUAAGGGGUUUGUAUGCAACACAUCCCAUAAUUCAUGGUUACAAAUGUGAACUUUGCCAAAGGGUUCAAAAUAAUUAUCAUCCUCGUAUUAAUAAGUUACAUGUAGAACGUACAACUUCACCCACCACCAUUUCCAACUCACUUGUCAUCUUCCCAUACAAUGAAUUUUCUCCUCCUCCAAAAAGUCUUCCUCAGCCUCAUCGCCGCCGCUGUCGCCGCCGUAGUGGUAUCCAAGAUCCGCGGCAGACGCCGGAAUAUGCCGCCAGGCCCCAUCACCUUACCGAUAUUCGGUAGCUGGUUUCAAGUGGGAAACAACUUAGACCACCACGACUUCAUCAGAUACGCCCAGAAAUUUGGCCAUGUCUUCCUCCUCCGAAUGGGCCAACGCCGCAUCGCCGUCGUAUCCUCGCCGGAGCUCGCAAAGGAGGUCCUCCUCACUCAGGGGAAAGAGUUCGGCUCCCGCUCGAGAAACAUCGUCUUCGACAUCUUCACCGGCAAAGGGCAGGACAUGAUCUUCACCGACUACGGCGACCACUGGCGGAAGAUGCGGCGGAUCGUGACCGUGCCCUUCUUCACCAACAAGGUGGUCCACCAGUACCACGGCGACUGGGAGGCGGAGGCGGAGGCGGUGGUGGAGGAUAUGAGGAAUACUCCAGCGGCUUCAAUGGAAGGGGUGGUGCUGAGGCGGCGGAUUGAGCUCAUGGUUUAUAACAAUGUGUACAAGAUCAUGUUCGAUAAAAAAUUCGAGAGCGAAGAAGAUCCGUUGUACGUAAAGCUCAAGAAUGUGAAUGGUGAGAGGAGUAGAUUGGGGCAGAGUCUUGAGUACAAUUUUGGUGAUUUUGUACCGAUUUUUAGGCCUUUUUUGAGAGGCUACUUGAAUAAAUGCAAGGAGGUUACUAGGAGAAGAUUGAACUUGUACAAGGACUCUUUUGUUGAAGUGAGGAAGUAAGUCUACUUCUCUUUUCUCUUAUUUCUUUUUGGGUAAAUUACAACCACCCCUGAGAUAUGGUCAAAUUACGAAAAAACUUCUCUUAUUUGAAUAAUUACAUCUACCCCUCAACUAUGAAUCUUCUUACAUCUCCACCUUUAUGGUGUCAAAUUCAACAUAAUCAUCUAGAUUCCGUGGAAUGUGCUCUAGUUUGUACUCGUUUUGUGUAAAAAUACAGUUACCGAUGCACGACAAUCUGAUAUAUACAAACCAAAAAAUAUAUUUUAUGAUCAUCUUGCUUCAAAAUGUGGAGCUCGAAUGAGAUAAAACGGGUACAAAAAUGAUAAUUUUCCACAUAAUCAAGAAGAUUCCCCUAAAUUUGAAACCGCAAGGGUUUAUAGUUGAGGGAUGAUUGUAAUAACCCAAACAUGCAGUAGGGGAUUUUUGUAAUUUGACCACACCUCAGGGUGGUUGUAAUUUACCCUAUCUUUUUAAAAAAAUUCAUGUUGUUUAUAGGAAUAUUGACUUCGUAUUUUUACUCUAGAUCUACACAUAAUUAAUGUCACACACAUGUGUGGGAGGAUGUAUCGUAAAAUGAAUAAUUAUUUAUGAACAUUUAUGAAUAGAUCUAUUCUCCAUGAAAUUAGGACUUGUGUGAUUUCAACUUUAAUUUCAUGUGUAGGAAGAUUGCAUCGACGGAGGCAUUUGACAAAAAUCGCCUCAAAUGCGGCAUCGAUCAUUUUCUAGAAUGUCAAGCGAACGGAGAGAUCAAUGAAGACAAUGUUCUCUAUAUUGUAGAGAACAUGAAUGUUGCCGGUAUGUAUUCAUUAUACAUCAUUUUCUACUAUUUUAAUUUGUUUCUUUAAAUAUAUUUAAAUUACAACAUAUUUCGACAUCGGUUUUAUGAUGUUUGUAUAUAUUUGAGCAGCAAUAGAGACUGUUAUUUGGACACUGGAAUGGGCCGUAGCGGAACUGAUCAACAACCCGGAGAUCCAAAACAAACUUCGGGCCGAGCUGGACGCAGUGCUAGGCCCGAAUAAGCAAGUGACAGAGCCCGACACUCACAAACUCCCGUACCUCCAAGCUGUGAUAAAAGAAACCCUUCGCCUAAGAAUGGUGGUUCCUUGUUUGGUCCCACACAUGAACCUCGACAAGGCCAAUCUCGGUGGCUACGAAAUCCCUGCAGAGAGUAGGAUCUUCGUCAACGCAUGGUGGCUAGCCAACGACCCGGCCC